rnacentral:rRNA from 1 species
GGUUAAGCGACUAAGCGUACACGGUGGAUGCCCUGGCAGUCAGAGGCGAUGAAGGACGUGCUAAUCUGCGAAAAGCGUCGGUAAGGUGAUAUGAACCGUUAUAACCGGCGAUGUCCGAAUGGGGAAACCCAGUGCAAUUCGUUGCACUAUCGUUAACUGAAUACAUAGGUUAACGAGGCGAACCGGGGGAACUGAAACAUCUAAGUACCCCGAGGAAAAGAAAUCAACCGAGAUUCCCCCAGUAGCGGCGAGCGAACGGGGAGCAGCCCAGAGUCUGAAUCAGCUUGUGUGUUAGUGGAACGGUCUGGAAAGUCCGACGGUACAGGGUGAUAGUCCCGUACACCAAAAUGCACAGGUUGUGAACUCGAAGAGUAGGGCGGGACACGUGGUAUCCUGUCUGAAUAUGGGGGGACCAUCCUCCAAGGCUAAAUACUCCUGACUGACCGAUAGUGAACCAGUACCGUGAGGGAAAGGCGAAAAGAACCCCGGCGAGGGGAGUGAAAAAGAACCUGAAACCGUGUACGUACAAGCAGUGGGAGCACCUUCGGGUGUGACUGCGUACCUUUUGUAUAAUGGGUCAGCGACUUAUAUUCUGUAGCAAGGUUAACCGUAUAGGGGAGCCGCAGGGAAACCGAGUCUUAACUGGGCGUUAAGUUGCAGGGUAUAGACCCGAAACCCGGUGAUCUAGCCAUGGGCAGGUUGAAGGUUGGGUAACACUAACUGGAGGACCGAACCGACUAAUGUUGAAAAAUUAGCGGAUGACUUGUGGCUGGGGGUGAAAGGCCAAUCAAACCGGGAGAUAGCUGGUUCUCCCCGAAAGCUAUUUAGGUAGCGCCUCGUGAAUUCAUCUUCGGGGGUAGAGCACUGUUUCGGCUAGGGGGUCAUCCCGACUUACCAACCCGAUGCAAACUACGAAUACCGAAGAAUGUUAUCACGGGAGACACACGGCGGGUGCUAACGUCCGUCGUGAAGAGGGAAACAACCCAGACCGCCAGCUAAGGUCCCAAAGUCAUGGUUAAGUGGGAAACGAUGUGGGAAGGCACAGACAGCCAGGAUGUUGGCUUAGAAGCAGCCAUCAUUUAAAGAAAGCGUAAUAGCUCACUGGUCGAGUCGGCCUGCGCGGAAGAUGUAACGGGGCUAAACCAUGCACCGAAGCUGCGGCAGCGACACUAUGUGUUGUUGGGUAGGGGAGCGUUCUGUAAGCCUGCGAAGGUGACCUGUGAGGGUUGCUGGAGGUAUCAGAAGUGCGAAUGCUGACAUAAGUAACGAUAAAGCGGGUGAAAAGCCCGCUCGCCGGAAGACCAAGGGUUCCUGUCCAACGUUAAUCGGGGCAGGGUGAGUCGACCCCUAAGGCGAGGCCGAAAGGCGUAGUCGAUGGGAAACAGGUUAAUAUUCCUGUACUUGGUGUUACUGCGAAGGGGGGACGGAGAAGGCUAUGUUAGCCGGGCGACGGUUGUCCCGGUUUAAGCAUGUAGGCUGAUUAUCCAGGCAAAUCCGGAUAAUCAAGGCUGAGGUGUGAUGACGAGGCACUACGGUGCUGAAGUAACAAAUGCCCUGCUUCCAGGAAAAGCCUCUAAGCAUCAGGUAACAUCAAAUCGUACCCCAAACCGACACAGGUGGUCAGGUAGAGAAUACCAAGGCGCUUGAGAGAACUCGGGUGAAGGAACUAGGCAAAAUGGUGCCGUAACUUCGGGAGAAGGCACGCUGGUGUGUAGGUGAAGCCCCUGCGGGUGGAGCUGAGACCAGUCGAAGAUACCAGCUGGCUGCAACUGUUUAUUAAAAACACAGCACUGUGCAAACACGAAAGUGGACGUAUACGGUGUGACGCCUGCCCGGUGCCGGAAGGUUAAUUGAUGGGGUUAUCCGUAAGGAGAAGCUCUUGAUCGAAGCCCCGGUAAACGGCGGCCGUAACUAUAACGGUCCUAAGGUAGCGAAAUUCCUUGUCGGGUAAGUUCCGACCUGCACGAAUGGCGUAAUGAUGGCCAGGCUGUCUCCACCCGAGACUCAGUGAAAUUGAACUCGCUGUGAAGAUGCAGUGUACCCGCGGCAAGACGGAAAGACCCCGUGAACCUUUACUAUAGCUUGACACUGAACAUUGAGCCUUGAUGUGUAGGAUAGGUGGGAGGCUUUGAAGCGUGGACGCCAGUCUGCGUGGAGCCAACCUUGAAAUACCACCCUUUAAUGUUUGAUGUUCUAACGUUGGCCCCUUACCGGGGUUGCGGACAGUGUCUGGUGGGUAGUUUGACUGGGGCGGUCUCCUCCCAAAGCGUAACGGAGGAGCACGAAGGUUAGCUAAUCCUGGUCGGACAUCAGGAGGUUAGUGCAAUGGCAUAAGCUAGCUUGACUGCGAGCGUGACGGCGCGAGCAGGUGCGAAAGCAGGUCAUAGUGAUCCGGUGGUUCUGAAUGGAAGGGCCAUCGCUCAACGGAUAAAAGGUACUCCGGGGAUAACAGGCUGAUACCGCCCAAGAGUUCAUAUCGACGGCGGUGUUUGGCACCUCGAUGUCGGCUCAUCACAUCCUGGGGCUGAAGUAGGUCCCAAGGGUAUGGCUGUUCGCCAUUUAAAGUGGUACGCGAGCUGGGUUUAGAACGUCGUGAGACAGUUCGGUCCCUAUCUGCCGUGGGCGCUGGAGAAUUGAGGGGGGCUGCUCCUAGUACGAGAGGACCGGAGUGGACGCAUCACUGGUGUUCGGGUUGUCAUGCCAAUGGCACUGCCCGGUAGCUAAAUGCGGAAGAGAUAAGUGCUGAAAGCAUCUAAGCACGAAACUUGCCCCGAGAUGAGUUCUCCCUGAGACUUUAAGUCUCCUGAAGGAACGUUGAAGACGACGACGUUGAUAGGCCGGGUGUGUAAGCGCAGCGAUGCGUUGAGCUAACCGGUACUAAUGAACCGUGAGGCUUAACCUU